rnacentral:rRNA from 1 species
CCUACGGGAUGCAGCAGUGGGGAAUAUUGGGCAAUGGGCGCAAGCCUGACCCAGCAACGCCGCGUGAAGGAAGAAGGCUUUCGGGUUGUAAACUUCUUUUCUGAGGGACGAAGAAAGUGACGGUACCUCAGGAAUAAGCCACGGCUAACUACGUGCCAGCAGCCGCGGUAAUACGUAGGUGGCAAGCGUUAUCCGGAUUUAUUGGGUGUAAAGGGCGUGUAGGCGGGAAAGCAAGUCAGAUGUGAAAACUCAGGGCUCAACCCUGAGCCUGCAUUUGAAACUGUUUUUCUUGAGUGCUGGAGAGGCAAUCGGAAUUCCGGGUGUAGCGGUGAAAUGCGUAGAUAUACGGAGGAACACCAGUGGCGAAGGCGGAUUGCUGGACUGCAACUGACACUGAGGCUCGAAAGUGUGGGUAUCAAACAGGAUUAGAUACCCGAGAAGUC